GACGUAGGGGGCGAGCGUUGUCCGGAAUUACUGGGCGUAAAGAGCACGUAGGCGGGAACCUAAGUCAGGUGUGAAAGACCGUGGCUCAACCACGGGGUGGCAUUUGAAACUGGGUUUCUUGAGGGCAGGAGAGGAAAGCAGAAUUCCUGGUGUAGCGGUGAAAUGCGUAGAAAUCAGGAGGAAUACCAGUGGCGAAGGCGGCUUUCUGGACUGACCCUGACGCUGAGGUGCGAAAGCGUGGGUAGCAAACAGGAUUAGAUACCCUGGUAGUCCCUGA
rnacentral:rRNA from 1 species